GACGAACGCUGGCGGCGUGCUUAACACAUGCAAGUCGAGCGGAGCGGCGAACGGGUGAGUAACGCGUGAGUAACUGGCCCCCUCCCUGGGAGAAAAGUUGGACACGGCUGCUAAUACCGGAUAGUGGGGGAUGGCCCGCGUCCUAUCAGCUUGUUGGUGGGGUAGUGGCCAACCAAGGCGACGACGGGUAGCCGGCCUGAGAGGGCGACAGGCCACGUUGGCCUGGGAUACGGGCCAAAAUCCUACGUGCGGCAGCAGGCGGGAAGAUUGCACAAGGGGGGAAACCCUGAUGAAGCGUUCCGCGUGCGGGAAGACGGUUCUCGGGUGGGAAACCGCUUUCAGCCAUGACGCGGUAGUGGCAGAAGAAGCACCGGCUAACUACGUGCCAGCAGCCGCGGUAAUAC
rnacentral:rRNA from 1 species